rnacentral:lncRNA from 1 species
UGGUGGAGCAAAGAGGGGAGGCCAGAGAGAUUUUGCGGCUUCUUCAGUUCAGCAUGUCAAAACACUAUACUUGGGAUGUUGAUUUCUGAGCCCCAACAAUACUGAUUUCCAGACCAGACUUUAGGCAAAGAAAGAACAGACUUCAAGCAAACUUUUCUCUACUGAAUAGGAUUAUAUAUUUUAUCACCUUGUGAAGAAUUUCAUCAGAAACAACAUCUCAUUGCAUAUUUGCAUCUUUUCUUGAAAAUUCCUCAA